rnacentral:tRNA from 1 species
GAGAGUAUAGCUCAAUGGUAGACUGUGUGUUUAGCAUGCAAAAGGUCCUGGGUUCAAGUCCCAGUACCGCCA